rnacentral:lncRNA from 1 species
CCUAGUCCUAUAAAUAGGGACCUAUUUUCACCAAACACUCAUUCCAAACAUCUUGCAAAAAAUCCCAAAUACUCUAAACACUAUUUCUCUCUAAAAUUCUAACUUUGGCAUCGGAGGUUCUUCGGCCAAAGCCCCCAUUCAUCGUGGGCGCGUGAGGCUUUUAGCCUUAACCUAAGGUGCUAGUUGUUUUGUAGGUGCAAAAUCGUCCAAGAUCGAGGAGGAGAAAAUUUGCAUCCACAAAUUGGUGCUUUCAUUGAGAGUUGAAAUCCAUACUCGUAGAAGACUAUCGCACAAAAAGGUUUUUUCUUUAUUUUCUAGUCCAUUUGAAUAUUUUUCAUACGUUCUUAUUAUUAGAAUUUUUUACUUGCAAAGUUUCUUUGAUAAAACAUAUAAGAAAAAUAUAAUGGCUAGAAAUUUAGAAAAUUCCACAAGUGAAAAUUCUAAUAUUCAAGAAAUGGGAUUGCGGAGAUCCGUGAGGCUAAAUGCGACAAUAAGUGGAGCGGCACCACCACCACGAGUUUCCACCACGAGAACCACCGCGGUGGCUACCUCGGUAGUCACCCGUGGCGAGGUCCAUGGUGCUUUCACCACGGCCCGAGCCGUGCCAUCCAAGGCUCACGGCACCAAGGCCACGACCCAAGCCAUGUCACUCCAAGCCCAACGUGAAUUUAACGCGUUGCCAAGCCAAGCCCAAACCUCGCACCCAUGUGCAUCACACUCCGAGCAGCCUGCUCCAAUCGAGCAGCCCACUCUCGUGGCCCAACCUGCUCUCACAGCCCAUCCUGCUCCCGCCUAGCAGCCUGCUCUCGUGGCCCAGCCUGCUCUCGACGAGGAGCCUACUCCCGUGGUCCAGCUUGUUCUAGCCGAGUAGCCCACUCCCGUGGCCCAGCCUGCUCCUGCCGAGCAGCCUACUCUCGCAGCCCAGCUUGCUCUCGAGGCCCAGCCUGCUCAUGCGGCCCAGUCUUCUCCCAUGGCUUUCCAAGCAGCCCAAGUCGGCCCAAGACUAUCUCAACCAUCCAGACCUACCAUCGAGUCGGGGGCAUUCUCACCAUAUUUUUUCGCGAAUUUGACAUUUCCCAACUCAAAUCUCGUGCCCGGAGUCUACCACUCUUCCAUUGUUUAAGAAGGCACAUUCCUUCCAAGCUCUUCCAACCCAAAUGGAGAACAACACUUGUCUCGACAAGUCAUAGAGUUGACAAGCGUCCUCGCACAGCAGACGACCUUGGUGAAUCGGCUCUUGCAGCGCACCGAGAUGCAACGUGCCCCAGACGUGGUGUCCCGAAGUAGGACAAGGGCAGACAAAGAACCUCUCCAGCAGCGUCUCGGUAAGCAGCCACUCGAUCAGCCACGAACUGAGCAUUCAGGCAGUGUGCACUCCCGAUUGGGCCCCCGAGAUAGCGUAUACUCCCGUCUUAGAGCGUGGAGGAGCGUGCACUCUCGACUAGGCCCACAGACGAGCAUACAUUCACGGUUAGGGUCACACUCCGAUAGUCAACAUGAGCAGCCUUCCAGGCGAAGUGUUCAUUUACGGUUAAGCCCUCAAGGAGCAUCAUCCACCUCACAUCGGAGUAGGCAGCCCGACGGAUGGAGAGAAACAGUCACUCAAUACGGCUUAAGUGCAACCGACAGCCUGCGAAGAACUCGCUCGCCUGCUAAGAACGCGCUACAUGCACUGCAUCCGGGGUAUAGACAAGCCAAACACAUGGAAGAGCAGCCUAGACCAGCAAGUCACGGUUGGGGGUAGCCGAGAGCUCCGCUACCUCAACAAAAACAAAUUCAGGAAGAAGUAGAGAGACUCUUGACCAAGCGAUUGCGCAAUUUCCAACGCAAUGAGGUCAUCGACGAGGCACUACGACGGAACAUGACCAACAUAAGCAAGUCACCCUUCACGGACAAGAUCGAGCAGGCAGAGCCUCCACGCGAGUUUAGCAUGCCACAUUUCACAUCUUUCAAAGAGGAUGAAGACCUGGAGAGACACUUAAAGCACUACCGAAGCACAAUGAUCCUCUAUCAAAACAACGACGGUCUCAUGUGCAAGAUAUUCACCACCACUCUACAAGGCGAGGCACAAGAUUGGUUCUACACCCUGCCGCCACAAUCUAUCCGGAAUUUUGACGAACUUUCUUUGGUUUUCACCAAAGAAUAUUCAUCCUAUCGCUCGAUCAAAAAGAAGUCCGACCAUUUGUUCGACGUCAAGAAAAACCCAAAUGAGUCGCUUCGAGACUAUGUGAGGAGGUUCAAAACAGAGAAGGCAAAAAUAGUCGGAUGUAACGACUCGAUAGCUAGAGAAGCCUUCCAAAAAGGACUUCCAGCGGACCACCCACUAUUUGGAAAACUGAUAAUGAAAGAAUAUCUAACUCUGGCAGACUCUUUCGCUCUGGCAGAAAAGUAUGCACUUUGGGACGAAGUUCGACGAUCUUGAAUAUGAAGUUCCCCACUACUCUGAAGGAGAUUCAAAAUCUGACUGGACGAGUAGUCACAUCUGAAGCAGAAAUAAGCUCUACCAUCAUACAAGAAAAGCUGGGGGCCCGACUACCUAUAUUCCACAAUUUAAAAGCUCUCAUCGAUGCUAUUAGUUGUAUUCCACAGUUUAAAAGCUCUUAUUGAUGUUAUCAGAAAUUCAAAAGCUAACUUUGGCAAUAGUUGUUGUAACCUAAAAGCUCAAGUUUUACCUUCAAACGCACGCAGUCAUCAUCAUGAUGCACCAUUCUGCUGAAUCCAGACGUGCGACGAUAAAUGAGUAGACCUUAGUGGAUGCAAAGCUUUCUGACGAACACAACAACUCAGCUUAAAAGACACGCCAAGGGCAGAAGAACAUUGUAAGGAACACUCAGAAGCAAGUUUUAUCCUCGUCGUCCCAGAAGAUUCUACAUAAGAGCAACAUGUACCGGCAGUUGAGCACUACCUUCUGCCGUGCGUCACACGGCCCUAGCCGACCCUUACUCCAUUAUUCAGCUCUAGAGUGGCCCAAUAUCGAAAGUUAAGCAUCUCCUGCUACAUGUAACAUGGCCCUAGCUCCACGGCUCCCUGCCGAGCCUUCACGCCUAGCCUUGAUAACGCAACAGAGCAGCCUAAUGACGCCCCGAAGGCAGUCGAGCACACUUUAGCCGCACCUACUCCCUCAAUGGAGAUUUCUGGCAUUUGCAUGUCAACGGCGCAUCCAACUACAAAGGCUCGCGAGCAGCCGUGGUUCUUAUCACCCCAAACGGUUCAAUGCUCGAGCAGGCGAUCACUCUAAGUUUCAAAGCAUCUAACAACGAAGCAGAGUACGAAGCUCCACUAGCAAGCCUUCGAAUGAAAAAAGACUUGGCGGUGAAAAAGCUUUCAAUUCAUUCUGAUUCCCAACUAAUCACCAGCCAGACUACUAGGGGCAAAGGCAUGAUGAUCGUGGCAACUGACUACUUCACCAAAUAGGUAGAAGUAGAGCCCAUGACGACCACGAUUCAGACGGACAUAGAGCGCUUCAUAUGGAGGAACAUCAUUUACUGAUUUGGCAUCCCUUAAUCCAUCGUCACCAACGACGGCCCGCAAUUCGUGGGCAAAGAUUUGGUGAAGUUCUUCCAAAAAUAUGGCAUAAAGCAGCAUAUGUCUACGCCGAGAUAUCCUCAAGGCAAUAGGCGGGCCGAAACAUCCAAAAAGAUAAUCCUCAACUGCCUCAAGAAAUCAUUCACCAACAAGAAGGGAAAAUGGCCAGACAAACUCCCCGGAUGUCUAUGGGCAAAUCGCACCACCAAAAGACGAGCAACCGAUGAGACUCAUUUCUCUUUGGCAUUCGGCUAAGAAGCAAUCAUUCAUCCCAAUGUCAUCAAGCCAAGUAAGAAGCAAUCAUUCAUCCCAAUGUCAUCAAGCCAAGUAUCACCGCUCUACUACCAAGCAUUGAGCAGAACAGUGAGAAGAUAGCCACAAGAUCUGGCAGAGGAGAAACGCGAGCAUACAAAUACCCGCAUUGCAGCCUACCAGCAGCAGCUCUUCUCCAGCUACAACAAAAGAGCUAAGAUUCGGCAGUUCUAGCCCGGAGAUCUAGUCCUAAGAAAAGCCUUCAUCACUGCCCGCGGAGAGGACUCCAAAAAGAUGGAUCCCAUCUGGGAAGGCAAGUACAAGAUCAACAGAGUAGGCGGCAAGAGUAAUUACACAUUCGCCACCAUGAAACGACAAAAAGAUCGAAAAGCAGUGGAACGCCUACAAUCUGAGGAAGUACCAUGUGUGACCUCCCGCUACAUCAAAGCCUGAAGACUCAAACAGCUCGACGGGCACCACCUCACAAGCUGAGGACUAUCCAGUUGUUAUGCAGUUCCUACCUUACAGUUAAGUUCUCAUUCGUUUCACUCAUUUUUCAAUGAGAAAUUCAGAAGUAAUCACAACUUGGCUCGGCUGCAUGCUUACAACAACUGAUCAUUCCUGCACUUCAAAAGAAGACUGCGCCCUUCUUAAGGACUCAUCGCAGGAAUUGCGCCCCCCGAGGGACCAACCAUGCUCUCCAGUGCGAGAGGGUAAACCAAUUCCCCGACACCCAUAUGGGUCAGCUCUCACGGGAGGAUAAACUUUACACUCCGAAUAUCCAUACGUGUAUAAGCCUGGUUGCCCUAGUAUAACUAGAUGCACGAUGGCUUGCGCUGGGAUUCCUAGAAGUAGCCACAAUGGUCUUUUUCAAGGCUUAGCUAACUGAAGGAUUUUGGGUCUCUUGGCUUAAUCCGUGGGGAACCGGGCCCUAGAGACGGAGGGGGCACAUUACGCAGUACGCCCCAUAGACAGCUACCCUGGAACCCUAAAGCUACUACCGAGUGCACUAAGGUAGCCUACGGAUUCCGAAAGACUGCCUAUGGCUUGCCCUUCGAGCAGUAAAGCCGCGCUAGACUUAUACAACCGCACAUUUUUGUGAAAAGGUUAAACAAGCUAGCGCGCAUAUACGAAGUUUUAUCCACUGCAUACAUGCUACGUAGUCGAUAAGCUUCACCUCUGCCAAGCGCGGAACAACCUACACCAAGUCCUAAAGUGUUGUGAUACUUGCUACGCAACCUACAUAAUUGAAGAAAGUCAAGGUUAACAGCCUAGUGGUUACGCGGACUUGUCUACUUCUGUAAGUAAGGCAUCCGGCUGCCAACCCUAUGGCUAACAACUUUGCAAAGUUCUACACCAACACCUACGGCUGUAUAGGCUACGCGAGCUUGUCUGCUUAUAAAAAGUAGCAUGCCUGCCACUGGUCUAUCAAGUCUAAAGGUUAGGGCAUGAGCAAAAUAAGCAAAGAUGAAGAAAAACGAAGGAAAACAUAUUUAUAAACAAAUAGCAAAGGCCGAAGGAGUUCAAGCAAAACAAGAGCUACAAGGAAACAAAGAAAAUCCUAAAGGUUACCUAGAAUACUACACUACAGCAGCUUGGACAUCCCACGACUACUCAGUCGCCACACCUUCAACAGCCGUAACGCUCUUAGCAGCGGCAUCAUCCGACGCUUCACCCCCUGCUGCCCCAGCCUGGGCACUAACUUCUCCAACUACUUCACCAAUGGAAGCCUUAAAAGUAAAAGCAAACAAGUUUUUCAGAGAAAUAGAGAAGCUCAUCUACUCCCUUCUCAGCAUAAGCAGCAUUCAACUUUUCAUCCUUUGCAUAAGCAGCAAAACGAAGCUCAGAAACUGCAAACUCAAGAUCUUAAAUCUGAGGUAUUGUAACAUUCAAUCUCCUUCUCUGUACUUUCAUACUUAACUUGGAUCGCAUCAAGCCUAGUCUUCAAGUCAACAAUCUCGUGGCGAGCGGUCUCAAGCUGCAGAGAAGCAGGGGCAUAAAUAUUAGACCACUUCAAAGCAACAAGCUUAGAAUCCAACCUCUUAAUCUCCUCGACUGAGGAAUAAGCUUCAGCUACCAUAAUCUUCGCCACCUCUUUGACGGCCUUGCUAUAUAUGCAUCAUAGCAAGCAAAGCAGUUCUAUAUUGGGUCGUAUGUUUCGUAAAGGAACUUGGGCAAACAACCUUUUUACCGCUAUCAACAAACUUGGCACAAACGUUCAUGACUUCAAGCAGAUCUAGUUUUAAAAGCACAUAGAUCGCAACAGCAUCCCUAGAAGCAGGCUUAGUGGAUUUCUCAUAACUGCCCACGCGAGCAAUAUCUUAUUUCCUAGCAGGCGAAUCAAUCUCAGCAGCAAAGAGAUUAGGCUUUGGCGCCACUUUAGCAGCAGAGUCCACUUUACCACUCUUCAUAAUAGCAAGUUUUUACAAAGGUGAACCAGACAUGGCUCCCAACGAAAGUCCUGGUACAAACUUCGGCACUCGGGGCAUGAUAAAACCUUUACGCUAAAUAAUUUUAUCAACAAUUGUACUAGCCAUUCUCAACAUGGAAGACACCACAUGCUCAGAUCUAGCAACCUUAUUUUUCUUCCCAUUGGAAGAAGUCAUGUCAAUCACAUACCUCUCGGUAGCAGGCGGACCCUCAUGAGCAGCGGAAGAAGUCUUCAGUUUUUUCUUAACUGGCAUCUCAUGAGCAGGCGGGAAAGAUCUCUUCUUUCCAUCUUCAUUCAUAGUAAGCUUCAUGACAGCGAUCAGACGAGCCAAUGCAUCUGCCUUGAUCCUCUUUACCUCCUCUUUCGGGAACAGCCAACGACAUUCAUGGUACUCAGCAGGGGAGCUCAACCCAGCAUUCCAGCAGGCAGGAUGCCUGCAUGCCCAACAUUUCAGCAGCCCAUGAGACCCACAAUCUCUUCAUUUCUCUCAAUCGCCAGCCUGGCCCGAGUCAGGUCCAAAAGCCCAAAUGACAUGAGUUAUGCGGCUCGCCUAGCACUGCGCCAGCGCCACAAUCUGCGACCCCAGCCGCACAAACUACCCUUAGCUCAAGCCAAGCCAAGUUGUCCAAGCAGUGGUCCCUGCCACGACAUCUCCUCGGCCUAUGCCGAGCCAACUCCUGGCCCUUGCCAGCCGACGUGCCGCACCACCCCGACGGUUGCCCCGCAAUAGCACUAUCCGAGAAGAAGGCAAGAAAAAUUAAAUUUUUCUUACAUCGGUGCGGCACGGAGAAGACGAAGAAAUCAACGAAAGACGGUCCUUUGCACGGGCAAGAUGUAGAAGAUUGCUAGAGGAGGGGGAACAAAUAUCUUCUAACUUUCUCUCUCUUGUGGGGUAGACUAAAUUGCUCUCCAAAGUUGAUUUAAUAACCCACUUAAGGUGGACUUAAAUAGGCUUUGAGAGAAGUUUAUUUUCCCUUCCUAGAAGGAUCUAAUUUCCAAUUAAAGAGAGAAUCUACAUCAAAAUAGGAAGCAGUCCUAAGUUUCCUAAAGCAAGAAGAUCUCUACACCUGCUGCCCUUUUCUGCGAGCAGCCCAACAGGUGUGGGGGCAUUUGUGGAGCCAAAAAUAUUCACAAGGCGACACGUGGAUUUUUAGACAAAAAGGACAAAAAUACCCUUGCAGUACAACGAGGUUCCUACGCACAAGCAGCGGGCAACCCUCUUUCAACCAAGACAGAAGUGCCCAAAAUAGGUAACAAUUCAAAGUCCAUCUCAUCAAAUCCUUUCUAUAAGGUAAUUCCCAAACACAUUCCUUUUAAAAUUAUGUUAAUUGGCUAAUUAAUGGGUUUAUUGCCUAAUUAACCCAUUAAUUGUCAAUUAAACCAUCCAUUAUAUCCAAAUGACCACAAAAUACAUCCAAUUCAACCCUAAAACACUACAUGGCCGGCCAUCCCUUUAGCUUUCUACCUUCCCUAUUUUUCCCACUUUAUUACCCAAAUAAAGCUAAUCAUUCAAUUUGAUAACCCCCCAUUUAUUUCUAUCAUAUUUUAUUAGCCAAUAAAGUGGCUAAUUAAACCACAAAUUCACCAAAAAAUGGACAAAGUGGCCGGCCACUUCCUUUGAAAAGUGGACCAACCUAGUCCUAUAAAUAGGGACCCAUUUUCAUCAAACACUCAUUCCAAACCUCUUGCAAAAAAUCUCAAAUACUCUAAACACUAUUUCUCUCUAAAAUUCUAACUUUGGCAUCGGAGGUUCUUCGGCCAAAGCCCCCCCAUUCAUCGUGGGCGCGUGAGGCUUUUGGCCUUAACCUAAGGUGCUAGUUGUUUUGUAGGUGCAAAAUCGUCCAAGAUCGAGGAGGAGAAAAUUUGCAUCCACAAGUGACACGUCAGCAUUUACCAGAAAAACUGACGGCGGUCUAACAUUGGCACAAGGUGGUCUAACAUUGGCACAAGGCGGUAAAAUGAGGUAUAACAUUGUCAUUUUAAAAAGAUGAGGUAUGAAUGUAUCGUCAGACCAAUAAUUAAGACAAUUUUUUGUCAUUUACCCCUUAGUUUAUGUACGUGUUGCUGCUUCACCACCCAACAUUCCGUGUCAUAAAGCAUUGAUGGCCUUAUUGUUGUCCUAUAAAAUUUUCGCUUAAACUUGAGUGGCAUACGAUGGUCGCACAACACACCCAAUACACUCUUCUACUUCAUCCAUCUAGCUUGUAUUCUAUGGUUAAAAUCUCCAACCAACUCUGUUCUUUUGCAAGAUAAAACCUAGGUAACGAAAACGAUCGCUCUUUAGUACUCCUUGAUCUUCAAUCUUCACCUCUAACUCAUGAACCUGAACUUGCACCCCUAACUCAUUUGGUUGAAAACUCAAACCAUAUAAAUUCAACCGUUAAAACGCCCGAGUAUCCUAUGCCGUAUGAGCUUUUGGGGGAAGAAAGUGCAGUAAUAGAAGCUGCUCUCAGAAAAGAAAAUGGUGUACUUUAAACCUGAAUGGGGAAAGAAAAAGGUUUAUGGAACUAUUUAAUAAUCAGCACCCCCACAAAUCGGGCAUCCCCAAUUCCUCAUGCACAAACUUUCUAUUGUUCCCACAGCAAGUAAAAAAGGCGGCAAAUUUCCAGACCGAGUUUCGGAAGAUCUUCGUUUCAACUAAGUACUUCUGCAAAGAUUUUGAUCUGCAGAAGUUCAGUUGUCAAUUUAACAACUAAUUCAAAACCACAAGCGUUCCUCUCAGAG